rnacentral:rRNA from 1 species
AGUGAACGCUGGCGGCGUGCCUAAUACAUGCAAGUCGAACGAAGUGGCUCACGGGUGAGUAAUAUAUAUUUAAUCUGCCCUACACAGAGGAACAACAGUUGGAAACGACUGCUAAUACCUCAUAGUGUCGGAUGAUACUAUAUCGUAUCAGCUAGUUGGUAAUGUAAUGGCUUACCACGGGUAUGACGCGUAACUGGUCUGAGAGGAUGAUCAGUCACAUUGUAAGUGAGACACGGGCCAAAAUCCUACGGGAAGGAGCAGUAAGGAAUAUUGCGCAAUGCGGGAAGACGUGACGGGGCAACGGGGCGUGAAGGAUGACAAUUGUCGGAGAGUAAACUCCUUUUAACAGGAAAGCGGUACCUGAUGAAUAAGCACCGGCUAACUCCGUGCCAGCCGCCGCGGUAAUAC